rnacentral:rRNA from 1 species
UCGGAAACCGGGAGACUUGAGUGCAGAAGAGGACAGUGGAACUCCAUGUGUAGCGGUGAAAUGCGUAGAUAUAUGGAAGAACACCAGUGGCGAAGGCGGCUGUCUGGUCUGUAACUGACGCUGAGGCUCGAAAGCAUGGGUAGCAAACAGGAUUAGAUACCCUGGUAGUCCAUGCCGUAAACGAUGAGUGCUAAGUGUUGGAGGGUUUCCGCCCUUCAGUGCUGCAGCUAACGCAUUAAGCACUCCGCCUGGGGAGUACGACCGCAAGGUUGAAACUCAAAGGAAUUGACGGGGGCCCGCACAAGCGG